UUGGGCCGGAGUGAAGUUAGUGCGGGUGCUGCAUGCGCGUGCCGACUUGUCUUCCGCCGAUUAGGUCUACUUCUAAUGCAACAGUCGUCGGUCAACUUACCAUUCAUUCGGCACCUCUGAUACCACGACUUAACAACCCCGGAUAACCAUUCCUCAGCUUCAGCGGAUGGAAAUGGUUGAGAGGUUGACGCCUCGCCGACCUUGAGGAUCACGGAGCGAGAGGAGUCUCCCCUUGCCUCCCUCCCCUAUCUCUCCCCGGUGUCAUUUGCCACCUGCGCUCGCUUGGCGCUUUUAAAGGGCCGUGCCGCUUCCCCAUCCAUGCUGCCAGAACCUUUGAUGCACUUGCCGUAGAAAGGGCAAUUCUGUCACGGGUCAGUUUCAGCACGUGACAUAGGAGGUGUAAAGUUGAAGCUUUUCACACUUUACCUUCUGUUCACAGGUCUUUGUACUAUUGGUCAGCUGUCAAAAUAUGCAAUUAACGGUGGUCUUUUAAUACCUUUCAGGACUUGUAUAUAUGGUAACUAUUAUUUGAUCAAUAACCGUUGAUCAUUCAAACUUACUCUUUGCGAUGCUCGUAUGAAUGUUUGACUUGCAUUUAUGUAUGAAACAAAAUCAUGAACGGUUUCUGAUAUUUUUAAUCGUCUUUUCCAUGACAAGAUUGGCGUGAAGAUUUUGGUUUAGUUUAGUUAUCGAGUUAGCUUCAACUUAACUGCAAGACAAGUGGUCGGGGUUGUCAAGCCAUGUGCUCUUGCAACCACGGGGUUAGAGGUUCGAGCCUCAUCUUUAAAGUUGGUGACUGCACGCAUUAGCUUAUUGGCGAAUUGUUGUCCCAUUUGCAAUCGCAGGUGGGAAAGCCAAAUCCACGUCAGCCUUGGCAGGACUCGAACCCGGGUCACAGGGGCGGAAGGCGAGGAAAGUACCGGCUCGCAAACCUGAAGUUCCAAGGUAAUUUGAGUUUGACGCUGUACCGUGACUUACUCCCAUAGCGUGACUGCGCGCUUGAAUGUGAAUCUAACUACCCUUUAAUGUCUUAAUAGUUGACUGGACUUCAUCGCCUGUCAUCAAGCAUCGGCCGCCACUCAUCUUCAGCUGAGAUGAGGGGUGUAAUUAAACAUGAAGGAGUUCUUUUACACACGGGAGGGGAGGUUCAUUAAUAAUUGGCGACGAGCUUGAACUUGGCAAGAUUCUCCAGGGAUCCUGCCAAUCCUCGUAUGUAUACAGCAAAUCGACGGGCUGUGACGCCGUACAGUUGGGCCAUCUCGGCGAGGCUAGUUUCCGCUCUGGGAAUCUUGGUAAUAAAGUGAAGACUGUGCACUGGAAA